CAGCCGCCGCGGUAAUACGGAAGGUCCGGGCGUUAUCCGGACUUAUUGGGUUUAAAGGGAGCGUAGGCCGUGGAUUAAGCGUGUUGUGAAAUGCAGGUGCUCAACGUCUGCACUGCAGCGCGAACUGAUCCACUAGAGUGUGCGCAACGCAGGCGGAAUUCGUCGUGUAGCGGUGAAAUGCUUAGAUAUGACGAAGAACUCCGAUUGCGAAGGCAGCUUGCGGGAGCACAACUGACGCUGAAGCUCGAAAGUGCGGGUAUCGAACAGGAUUAGAUACCCCAGUAGUCCCUGUCUCUUAUAA
rnacentral:rRNA from 1 species